GCGAUAUCACGUUGAAAUACCGGUGCCCGUACGAUCACCAAAGUUAAGCAACAUCAAGCCUGGACAAUACUUAGAUGGGUGACCGUUUGGGAAUACUAGAUGCUGUAAG